rnacentral:rRNA from 1 species
AGACUGGGAUAACUCCGGGAAACCGGGGCUAAUACCGGAUGCUUGAUUGAACCGCAUGGUUCAAUCAUAAAAGGUGGCUUUUAGCUACCACUUGCAGAUGGACCCGCGGCGCAUUAGCUAGUUGGUGAGGUAACGGCUCACCAAGGCGACGAUGCGUAGCCGACCUGAGAGGGUGAUCGGCCACACUGGGACUGAGACACGGCCCAGACUCCUACGGGAGGCAGCAGUAGGGAAUCUUCCGCAAUGGACGAAAGUCUGACGGAGCAACGCCGCGUGAGUGAUGAAGGUUUUCGGAUCGUAAAACUCUGUUGUUAGGGAAGAACAAGUACCGUUCGAAUAGGGCGGUACCUUGACGGUACCUAACCAGAAAGCCACGGCUAACUACGUGCCAGCAGCCGCGGUAAUACGUAGGUGGCAAGCGUUGUCCGGAAUUAUUGGGCGUAAAGCGCGCGCAGGCGGUUUCUUAAGUCUGAUGUGAAAGCCCCCGGCUCAACCGGGGAGGGUCAUUGGAAACUGGGGAACUUGAGUGCAGAAGAGGAGAGUGGAAUUCCACGUGUAGCGGUGAAAUGCGUAGAGAUGUGGAGGAACACCAGUGGCGAAGGCGACUCUCUGGUCUGUA